rnacentral:hammerhead_ribozyme from 1 species
AUCCAUCUGACGAGUCUCAAAUAAGGCGAAACGCACGUCUUGGAU